GUGGACAGGCUCGAAACGUUCGGGCUGCUCUGAGGAGGGGUUCGGGGGCCUGUCUCAAUCGCACGCCGAGGUGCCGUCUUCGCUAAAAACUACACGUGCUUUUAAAGGAGAGCGUGUUGGUGAGGGUGCGGGCGUUUGUGCUUGGUUCUCUGUCAUAGAACGGGACUAAAAUAACCCAGCCUGGGAGGAGGGAAAUUGCUAGUGCAGCCCUGCAUUCUCUCAUCGACCAUUAUAGUAAAUUGCUAAUUGCACAAAAUGAUAGUUUGAGGGCCUGUAAUUAAAAGCUUAACCUUUUCUUGUUUGGGGGGAGGGGAACCUAGGUUUGUUCUUCUUGAUACACUUUGUUAACAGUUAAUUAUAAGGCUUAAGGAAAAAAGGAAGGAGAGGCAAGAUUCCUAUUAAGGAUUGAUUCUUGUUUUGUGCCUGGCAGGACCUGAGCCUAUAAUUUGUUUUGUGUGUGUGUGUGUGUUUACUUCAGUUUUCUUGCACGCUUUUCCUUCGUUGAGGUGCAUUGUCUCCUGUGGUCUAUUUAGCACUUAACAAGAGUUGAAGGGCGCACUGAGCUGUUUCUCCUUCUUCAAUAAACGGUUUACAUAUUUUUUAAAAAGUUACUCUUUUCCUUUUUCUCUUUUUUUUAAAUUUUCAUAUCGAAUGACCCAAACUUUGCAGGUUUCAGUAGGACCACAUCCUAGCGGUGUUCUCCUGGUGAUCUGAGACGUGGUGGGCACUGCUUAGCUGUAUUCUCUUUGCCCUGGUUCUUCUAGGCAUUUGUCAAGGCUAGCCAUCAGAGGGGAUAUUUAUUAGGAACUUACUGUAUCCAGGAGAUGGCAAGAAAAGGAAAAUUGCAGAUCAGGAUACACUUUGGUGGGGCCAGAGGAUAUCAGGAUUGUGACUGAUAAGCAUUAAGGGGCUUCACGCUGUGUAUGUGGGUGGAGUGUUAGACUAGAGCUCAUUUCGAACACCGUCUUGCCCGCUCUGUGAUUGUACAUUUGAUACCAACUGCAGCAGCCAUGCACAUGUUGCAUGUGAAAUUGAAUUCAGAUUUGUCUUACGCCGUUUAGUAGUGAAAAUGCAUGCAGGUGUUGUUCACCUAACAGGCUUUAAGGUGCGAUGGUAAAACCUCCAGGGCACAUCAUCUUCAAUAUUCUCAGGAUUCUGAAAGACCAUCUGAGAAUGAGCUGUGUCACUUUACAGACGAGGAAAGGUGGUAGAGGGAUGAGUGGAAUCAAUAUGAAAAAGCACAGUGUUGAUAAACAGUCCAUGUGGCUUGUGUUUAAUAUUUUUCUCAGAGAUAAAUGCCUGGGUACUACAAGCUAAACCCUGGUAUGGUAUAAUAGAUUUACAGUUGAUGAACAUGUACUAUGCUUUCUGCCUCUCCUAGGGAUAUAAAUAAAUUGUUGGUGAACUUAGCUGAGGCUCUGUGUUCAAUCUGGUAGCUUUAUUGUUUAAUCGAAGCAUAACUUUUAGCUGGACCUCUGAUUGGCUGUGUAACUUAGGAAAAUCACUGUGCCUCUCUGUGCCUGCCCUCUGACCUGUAAACUAAAAACAAAACUAAGCCACAUAGAGUCCGAGUGCUCUGUGGCCUCAGGGACCAGCUCUCUGCCAAGCAUUGAUAGAAGAAAACAGUUAUAAGAAGAAAUGGACCUAAUGAAUACAGAAAAUAACCAAAUAACCAAAAUGAGAAAUUUAUCAUGAGUGGAGACAGGUGUGGUUGAACCAACUGGUUUCAGAAAGGUUGACAAUGCUAGAUUUAGAAGCCUUCAGGUAGAUGCAGAGGCAACCAUUCACUCCCACAGUCCACCACUUUUAUUUCUUUGUUGAGGCAACAUGCUUUGAGCAUCCCUGGGAGGUCGGCACUGUGCUAUGCAGUGGGCAUAGGGAGAUGCCAACCAGAGGAAGCUCAGGAACGGGGUGGGGGGGGAGGCAGAGAAACAGCACAGCCCAAGGGAUGUUCAAGGUGCUAUAAGAUUAUAGGGGAAGGGUAGUUAAUCUGGCUGGGGAAUUAUGGCAUCAGAAAACGCUUUCCAGGACAGUUGACUCUGAACUGAGUAGAGUCAUCAUUUUGACCAAGUAAUGUCAGUUCUUAUUACUGCUGGGCACAUGGUAGGGUUGCACUUUCUGGCCCCUUUAUGGUUGGGUGGGACUGAAGGACGAAUUUGGGGCAGUUAUUUGUGAGAAGUCGCAGGGUGCCAUUUGCAGACUGGAGCAUCUAAUUACUUGAAUAAGAGCCUCGCUUUUUGUCUGCUGUCUAAUGACAAGAAAUGUGCAAGAUCUGAUUGCUUCAUGAACCCAGUGUGAAUGACUACAUGAGUAAUUCUCUGCUGUCUACAUGUAUCUGGCAAUGGUCAUAUAGAGUAGAGGUCAGCCAAUGGCCAGUGGCCUGUUUUUGGAUGACCUGUGAAUAUAAGAAUGGUUUUUAUGUUUUUUAAAAGAUUGCACGCGCGCGCGCGCGCACACACACACACACACCCCACCCAAAAAACAACAAAUGAACAAAACAAAGAAGAAAAAUAUGUAGCAGAAACCAUAUGUUGCUCACAAGGCCUAAAAUAUUUACUACCUGGGUCUUUGGAGAAUAAAAAAAAACCAAAACGGCUUGUAGCCUCUUAACACAGAGUGAGUGCAAAAGAAAUCUGUGUUGUGUUCAUCUACUGGGAUUUUGUUACCUCGGCCUGAUGUGGCAUUAACCUGGCUGAUGCACUGGGUGAAUGGGGAAGGAAAAGCAGCUGUGAGCAGAGAGAACAGAGGCAAAAGAGUAUCAAGUAUUCAAGGAAAUGCAAGAGAUGCAGAAUGUUUCAAGUGUGAGUUUCAAGUAGGCUAAUGGUGGGGAAGAAGGCUAAGGAGGAGAGGUGGGGAUUGGAUUAUGUGGAGAUCUGUAUGUCAUAGCGACACUUUGCCUUCAUCCUGUAGGCCAUGGCGAGGACUGGUGAUGGACUUUUUUUUUUUAAUUUUAAAAAAUUUAUUAAAUUAUGUGAUUCACAAAGGAGUAAUUAUAAAAUGCAGAGAAAAAGAAUUUUUAAAGAUUUUAUUUAUUAGAAAGAGAGAGAACACAAACGGGGGGGGGGGGGGCUUGCAGGCAGAGGGAGAAGCAGGCUCUCUGCUGAGCAAGGAUCCCAAUGCAGUAUUCGAUCCCAGGACCCUGGGAUCAUGACCUGAGCUGAAGGCAGAUGCUUAACUGACUGAGCCACCCAGGCAUCCCGAAAAAGAAUUUUUAAAAGCAUACUCUGAAUACCCGGAGAUAUUGACAUAUUCUAUUUCUUUACUUUAAAAAAAUGUAUUUAGUUUUAUCCUCAGGGCCCAGAAUUGUAUUGACAUUGCUAUAAUUAGUACAGUUAUGGCUCUCUUUGCUAAUUUACUUCUGUAAAUAAAUAAAUAAAUAAAUAAAGAUAUAUAUAUAUAUAUACAUAUAUAUAUAUAUAUCUGUGAGUCCACCGCUGCCUCCAAGUAAUAGAAUAUUGGCAGUAACACUCAGCUGAGUCCUUCCCUGGGAACACAUCUAGUUCUCUUCCCUGGAGGAAGCCACGGUUGUGAUGAGUUUUGACUGGGGCCCUGAUAGCCAGUGCGUUCUAGAACGUUCCCUCUGGCAGUGGUAUGGAGACUGAUGGAGUUGGGAAGCAGGUAAGUCGAGAGGAAAAACAAUUAGGGGGCUCUGGUAGUGAGGGGAACAGGUAAGUAAGAGAAAGAAACUGUUAUUUGAGCUGAGAAAUAUUCAUAUAAUUCCUUCCUGAGAUUUUUCUCCCCAGUUCUUUGGAUGUAUCUCUUAGAACAGUGUUUUCGAGAAACACCCAUAAUCCAUAAAGCUUCCUGGCAGUGUCUGCAAAAAGUGCAGGUUCUCAGCUCCUCCCUUGGAGAUCCUAACUCAGUGGGUCUCGUGUCUGUCCCAAGGGGCUGUGUACAUAAUCUUACUCCAGUUGAUUCCUAGGAUGAGCCAUGAUUAAGAAACUUUCUUAGAGAAUGUCUUCCGUGCGGUUUGAAUGGCCAAGUAGCUUUACUUCUCUCAAAUAUGCAUACGUGUAUUUGUCCAGUUUCUUCGGGGUGAGUGGGGUAGGACCCACAGAAAAUGCAAACGCGACGUUGGAUGUUUCCUUUGCCUCAAGCCCUGUAAUCGUCAGACCAGUUGCUAGUUUGAAGCUCUGAUCACUGCAUUUUCUACCCCGCAGCCGUGCCACGGGAAGACGUGAAAUGAACUUUCCCCUUUUAAAGGCUUUUGUAACUUCUGAGGCCUCCGCUGUAUCCUUUUUUGAUGGUGUGACAGCCCAGUGAAGUGCAUCAGGUUCACCCCACUCCAGGCUCCGUGGGGAGGGCGUGAUGGGGUCUCAACCAGCGGUCACAGACUUCAGCUUCCAUCCGAAGCACCUGGAGGCCUUAUUCAAACAGGGAUGGCUGGGCCCCACCCCAGAGGUCCUGAUUCAGCAAAUCUGGGGUGGGGCCUGAAGAUCUGUAUUUAUAACAAGUGCCCAGGUGAUGUUAAUGCCACUGGUGAGGGAACACACUUUGAGAAGCACCGUUCUAAACCCAUCAGCAUAACUUUCCUCCCUCAGCCUCUGUGACUGAUUCGAGGGCCUCAACCCAUCGGCCUGGGGCCACAUGGAUGGGACGCUUCAGCCCUAAGCCUAUGACUCAGGUCUGUCCGGUUACGAUGACGCUCAGGACUUCUGCUUCAUUAGAAAGGCACCCUCUUGGAAGCAAUGUGCUAUAUGGACCUUGGACCAGAACUCGUCCGGUGAUUGUACCACAACAACAGAAGCCGAUUUGAAGACCAACAGAGUCCUAGAGAAGUGGACGUUGAGAGACUCGGAGAGAUGGCACCCAAACUUGACCUUCAGCCCACCUGGAGGUCGGCUUCUCCUGCAAGUGCUGGUUCUGUAGGCCUUCUCACUUACCUGAGCCAAUAAAUUCUCCUUGUUGGGUACGUCAGUUUGGAUUGAGUUUUCUGUUACUAACAAGCAACUGACUGGGAGAGGUGGCCCCUUGGGGGAUGUAGGGUGCUUACUCUAAGGUGUUAGGCAAAACUCCAUGUGUGAUCUUCCAGCGGAAGUAACAUGCCCCUCCCCUCCUGGAGGCGAUUCACAAAAGGAAUGCAGGUACUAGGAAGGCCUGUCCUAACAGCUGCUUUCUUGUGAGUCGUGGCCAAGUUCUCAACUCCACGCCCCGACCUCGACCGAAAUCAAAUGCUCGAUAUGGACUCAAUACAAACGAGCCCCUACUGAGGGUUACAUUCUGAGAAAACCACCUUAGAAAUCCCAAGGCCAAAGACUGUUUUUGCCGGCUGCUUUUGAACAAUUUCAGAAAGGAAAGAAAAAAAACGUGGCCAAACACGGGAAAGCGUUUACAGCGGGAGUGAAACUCCAAAAUGGGUUGUGUGCGAGGCUAGACCAGUGGUUCCGACUGGGGGUGAUCCUGCCCUUGGGGAAUGUUUGGCAAUGUCUGGAGACCCCUCCCGGGACAGGUACGACUGACAUGCAGUGGGUAGAGCCCAGGGCUGCUGUUAAACCAAAAGCUUACAGAACACAGAACAGGCCCCUACAACAAAGAAUGAUCUAUCUGGUCCAAAACGUCACUGGGGCCGUGGUUGAGACAUCCUGAGCUAGACUGAGAAGUCAAGUGAUUCUGUAAUGUGUAGCACCUAAUGAGUAAGGUCAGGGGACGUGAUUUGGAACUUAGGUGGCCCAAUAGAAAGAUGUUCUCUCUCUGAACAAAGAAAGCACAAAGUGGGGCUUGUCCAGUAGAAAAACAGAUGCGAAUGCGGGAUCAGAGGGUAGUGGGGAGAUUUAUAGACCUGGGAAAAGGAGAGCGAACCACAAGGUAGUUUACAUUUAAAUUGAAGUAGACCAAUAUAGGACAUCCACAGUCCGGUUGCAUUGUGCACUCAUGGGUGGCCUGUAUUUUGCAAAGUGUUGGGUUUUGCUUUACCCGUUUUUCAAUGAAGGAAUGAAGUGCUGGACCAGUUUCACUUUAUUUUCCAGGAACUCUUUUUUUUUUUUUUUUUAAAGAUUUUAUUUAUUUAUUUGACAGAGAGAAACACAGCGAGAGAGGGAACACAAGCAGGGGGAGUGGGGGAGGGAGAAGCAGGCUCCCCGCCGAGCAGAGAGCCCGAUGUGGGGCUCGAUCCCAGGACCCUGGGAUCAUGACCUGAGCCGAAGGCAGACGCUUAACGACUGAGCCACCCAGGCGCCCCUAUUUUCCAGGAACUCUUGAGAACUAAUUCCUAAGAUUCUGGCCCCAAACUGGAUUGUUCUCAUUCGCCGUAACCGCAAUUUAUAGGAGGUCUUGGAAUGUAGUGCUGUAGUGUUUAAAACACUCUAACAAUGGGAGUUUCUAAGGAAAUGGGGGCUUUGUGGCACCUACUGAGCCAGCUAAGUGUAAGUGCUUAAUAGGACGUAAGAAUUUUAAUCUGCAAGUUAUGAGUAAUGCAGCAAGGUCCGUAAGCGUAUAUCAUUUCAUCAUGAUAAUUCCAUUUUUAAGCUUUUGGUUUUGUGAAGGUGGAGAGUUGAUGUAUCCAAUGUUUUCUUGUUAUAGGUAUGGUUUAAAUUCAUGUUAGACUGCUGGUAGCACCCUUGAAGGGCUGAGUUUCUAAAUGAAUAUGCUUCCUUCCAACCUGGCUCUUUGGGGAGGUUUUGUCUUUGCAUCUCUAAAUCGUUUCAGAAACACACUCAUGAGCAGUACAAAUGCCGAUAACAACCAUAUCUAGAGUGUGGAGGGGGCAGUCCUGCUUCUCAAGGGUUCUAUGGUGGAUGGAAGGGACUGCUAGUCCUUCGGAGUUGUUGGAGGGUAGAGUGGGUGAAGGUGGGAGGAGAUACCAGAGGGGUAGCCCAGUCCAGUCGAGGAAGGUAUAUUUGUAUGUUGUUUGGAUUUUUAUCCCACGAGCAGUUAGUAAGCCAUAGAAGGUUUUUGCUAAGGGGAUAGUGGGAGCAGAUAUGUGUAUUCAGAAAUACGGUUAUCUGAGGAGAUGAUUAUAUCCAUACAGGAUCCAGAGGGCACCCCUGUGGUAGCUGAAAACUUUUGUGCAUUGAAUACAGAGAGGCAGUGUAGGUUAAUGGUUAACAGAGAAGGUGCUGGAGACAGUCUUCCUGGGUUCCUACUGCCACCUACUAGCUGUGAAGUUUUAGGCAAAUUGUUUAACCUCUCCUUAUGCCUCAGUGUUUUCACCUGAAACGUACGAAUGACAAAUGCACUUACUUCUUAUGAGAACUCAGUGCAUUCGUAGGAGUAAAGCACUUAGAACAGUGCCUGGCCUAGAAUAAAUGCUCAGGAAUUGUGAGGUACUAUUAUUAAAUGUGAUAUUGAUUGUUGUUGUUGUUAUCAGCAGCACUCCCUGUAAAAGACCGAGGGAUUGCAGGUCCGGGCCGAGGGGUUGGAAUGAAGGAGGUCAGCGGGCCUGCGCCCUGUCUGCACAUUCAGAUCCCCUGGAGAGCUUUCCAGAAUAUCCACACUGAAGUUGGACUCUAGACCAAUUUGAUGACAAAGUUUGGAAAUGGGGCCUGGGCGUGAACUUCCUGGGUGACUGGCAUUCUUAUUGUGAAUCACUUGGUGUCAAGCGUGGAGCUCUAGCCUGGAGCAGGGUAGCGUAGAAGGAAGGCUGUAGUCGAGUUGGAAGAAGCUUCACCCUCGGGGAGACGGGGAAGUUGGGGUGGCUGCAGCAGAAGAAAGAGGUGAAUCCCCUGCCAGUGUUCCAGAACGGCCUCCCCGUCCUCUCUGUGCAUCCUGCUCCCAGCCUGACAUCUCUCAUCGCAGCUAGAUGCGCCAGCUGUAAGAGAGCCGAGGACCACAGGAGGUCAGAAGCUCCGCAGAGCCAGACGGUCAGGCACCUAGCUGGCGUCUACCUAUAUCAGUGAUGGAUUACGUAUCACCAUUCUCCUGCUUUUAUGAGUCAGUCUACCAACAAGGACCUGCUAUGGGGCCAGCCACUUGCCAGGUGACUGGAGGACAGGGGCCAGAUAGCGAUGUGGCUACUGUAGGGGGUGAGUUGUUACUGUUUGGUUUGCUUUUUCUCUGGGAGCCAAAAUUCAGGCUUGUUAAGUGGUAAUUGACAGUGCUUUCUUCUAAGGAAGUUUCUCCCGGAUUUGCUGCCAACAGGAAGUGUAUUAUUCCUCAGAGCACUAUAGCAUUUAUUUAUCGAGUGCCCACUCAAUUAUGAGGCAUGACAGAGUUUGCCAUCUAAGAGAGGAAAGACCACUUAAUGAUUCCUGGAGUCAGAAGUUGGGAAUAAAUGGGUAGACAGAUCCAAGAGUUAAGGGGAUUCCAUUGUAAUUGGAGAAGCACUUCCAGCAGAAACUGGAUCUUCCGCUGAAAUCUUAAAGGAACCCUUGAAUAAAUUGUGUGGGAGAGAAAGUAUGUUUUUGAACAAAAUGAAUAGUGAUUUCAGCUGAUCAUCUGAUAGGAUCCCAAAGCACAGGUUGCAGUUGUGGGACUAGAAUUAGCACCUCCUAGAAAUUAGAAUUCUCUUUUGAGAUCUUAAGAAUUAUUUCCCCUGAUCCAGGAGGAAUGGAACUCUCUCCAAAGGUGUGUUUAUUACAGCAGUUUUCUGGGCUGGGUCUGAUGGUUUUUCUGGAUGGACAAUUCUUGCACGUGAAGGAAAUAUAAAGCUCCACCCUUUGGGAGGGGCUUCCUUCUGGAGGUGAGGGGUGGUUCUUGGUUACUGACCCAAAUGGAAGGAUGAUGGAUGGCUAAUGACCCCAAUCAGAGCUUGUUCCUAAAUUGACUUGGCUUUGCUUUGGGAAGAAGAUAAUGGAAGGCCGUUUGGAAGCAAAGAUCAGAGGUCUUUUAUAGAUAGAGAUGGAGAGGUGGAUAGUACUGGAAUUGGGAUAAGGGGGUUUGGGAGAAGAGGCAUACCCAAGAUUUGCACUAGAUCUAAUCUCACCUUUCACCUUCUUAACACGAACACCCCAGUAUCACCAACGCCCUUCUCUGCAAUCAAAACUUACUCCUUUCCUGUCAUCAGAAGUAAGCACCUUGAAGGGUAAAAAUUAUGGUUUAAAUACUUAGAAGGCCUGCCAUGUUUGUGAAAUGGAAUUGGAAUGAAUAUACGAACAGAUCUUUUGAUCUGGUUCUUUCGGUUCUCUUGGUGAACUCUGGAGAGGCAACUUUCUGGGAAGAAGUGACUGCAGAGAGGACGGAGGGUGGUUUAGUUUUGUCUCUUUACAUUUCUUCAUUGCUCUCUUGGCUUUGCCAAAGAUGCCAAGAAAGAACAAAGAGGCGAGGGAGAGAGGGCUGGUUGGCAUAAAGACUAUUCAGAACACUCAAGAGAAAAUCUGGGAAGGUCACGGAAGAUCUUCUCUUCCUUUUAUAGCAUAGCCUGGCUAGAGGGGCAGUUUUCUAAAUAUGAAACAGAAAAAACGAAAGCUCUGUCUUACAUAGUGUGUGAAGAAUGUCUUGACUUUGUGCACUGCCUUUCUUCUGAAAAGUUUCAAAGCACUCGGCAAACAUGACAUCAUUACACCCCGGAGGAGACUGCGAACCCACGCUCAGGAGGAUAAUCCCCCUGCAGCAGUCUGGAGGAGCUCGCGAACAGAUCAGCGUUCUGAGUUAAAGAAAUUUUAAUCACAGCCAAUCAAGUUGCUGCUUUUCCUUUUUUUCACUCCGCCCCGUUGAUCUGAUCUCCGCCUGCCUCCUGAAUGGCUCUCUCAAGAAAUUUCAGCAGGUUCUGCCCACGGGAGAUAAUUCAUAGACUAUGAAGAGAAAUGGAAUGUGCCUUGUGGCUCGCAUAGUGUUUCCUGAAAUCAAGUCCACUUCAGGGGAAGACUCGCUGAAGGAAUUAUCGGAAAUAUUGCAACAAGGAUUAUUUGGAAAUUGAAGGCCUGUCUGGAAUCUUAUGAUUGGACUGAAGUCCUGCAUCCCCGUCAAGAACACCACAGAAAUGGUUCCUCAUCCUUCUCAGUACAUCAGAUCACAGCAUGCAUGAUAUCUAGGAAGAAAUACCUGAUUUCUGAAAACAGCCUAUAUCCUGAACAGUUUCCUGGAAAUGACACCACUGGUUAACUUUUAUAAAACAUUCCAAGUGUUAAACAGCAAGUUCUGAUGCUUCCAAGUGCCCGAAGAGGAUCUUCUAAGCCAGUGAGCAUGGAAUCCCCUGAGAACCUGAGUAGCUGUGAGAAACCUGGCAGCAGGGGUUCCUGAGGGUCUCAUCUGGUGCUAGAGAUGAUCGGCUCCCCCAGUCAGGGAGGAAGGAAUCCUCUUGACCCUAGCACGCAGACAAACCUCUGUGAAGAGACAGAUCCCGAGAUGCAUCCUGUUCUCAUGCAAAUGAUGGUGCCUAUUGGAAAUGGUGAGACUAUAUUUUCUAGACUUGCUCUGUUUGCUGAAAACCCGAAGAGGCCAGGAAAUUGCUUCAUGUGCAUCAAGUGCCUGAAGUGAUGAUACUGUGUGUUGUUGAUCAAAGAGGUGUCACAUGCCCUGGGGACGCGGUGGCCAGAGAGGACACUCAGCAGCAGAAGGCUUUGGCUCACCCACCUGAGAAGCUAAAGCUUGCCUGGAAGUUAUGCCUCCAGAAAAAAAGAGCAGUCAGAGCCUCUCAUGUAACUUGAAGAGUAUGAAAGAUCCACUGAUAAAAACCACUGCUCCGAACUUUUCCAAAGCACAAAAAUUCCCUGCCGACGAUUCUCCAGUCCUUGGCAAGUGCACAAGCGAGGCUGGAAAACAGAGCCAAAACACAAACUGUGAAGCAACAGUUCACCCUCACAGAGCGAGUGGGCUUUGUGCUAUUUCUGGCUAGAGCAGAUGUGGCCUCGAUCAUGAACUGGGAGCUGUGUGGAAAGACGACUGGAUUGGGAAUCAUCAGGGUCCUGCCCUGGAUUUCUUCCAGAUGACUCUACCAAUCAGCCAUCUGGUCUCGCGCUGGUCUCCAGUGAUACAGGGUGUCGUGGGAACCUAGAGGGGCAACAUGUCAUCCAACCUGGAGGUGAAGGAGUGCUGCCUGGAGGAGUGAAUUCAUCCCCAGCUGAGUCUUAAAGUUGGUGCAGAUAUUAUCCCGGGGGAAUACAAAGCUUUUCCUGACUUCUGUGAAUUUCUCCAGAGCCUUGCUUUUGGAAAUGCUACCAGAAUGAUGGUGCAAAUUACUAGUGGUGGAAAUUACUCAUAGGUCUCAAAAGCAAGGAAUCAGAGACUAUCUGCUUUCCAAUGGGAAAAAAAGGAAAGAAGAAAGAAUUCCACUAGAUGCCCAUUUGUUAGCCCAACACUGGAAGGUAUCAGCCUUAAAGAAUAAUCUAAAGAAUUUACAGUGUCCAAGUGGAACAAGCACAGAUUUCACCUGAUGUGGGCCCAAUUGUGACCAAAUGCAUAGUGGAUAUAAGGCAGUUGUUAUGAGAUUCAUUGCUAAAUGAUUGUUAAAUUGUUUUCCUGGUGAAAAGUGACAAAGUAUUGACAGAAGGUUUGCAAUUUUGAUGGAGCAUGGUGGGGACAUUGUGUCCCUUCUACUUGGCAUCAGGUGGGGUGAAGAAAUAGAAUUGGAAGACUGAAGAGUAGAAGCAUCUGAAGGGGCACUCAUGUGUUGGCAGUAGAUGCUGGCUGUGGGCUGGGACCUCCAUGUGGCCCCGCCACAUGGCUGCUUGUCUCCCAAAGGUGAGUGUCCCAAAAGAGAGCCAGGUUCAAGCUUUUAUGCCCUAAACUUGGAAGUCACACAUCUUUUCUCCAAGUUCUUAAGGUAGUCACAAAGCAUCACCCAGGUCCAAGAAGAAAAUUAGACUCUACCUCUCUUGGUUGGCAAGUUCUGCAAGAAUGUAGGAACUGGAAUAUCAAUGUGGCCAGUUUUGGAAAAGACAACCUGCUCCAAGAAAUUCUCUCCCUUUUGAUGUUAUCUGCACCCCAUAUCUGCAGAGAAAACAUGGAAAGUCUCAGUUGCCCUGUUGAAUAAUUGGGAAAACAGGGAAAGUGCAUGCACGGAGGAUGGAUGAUGCUUUCUGGUGUUGCAAGAAUGAGAGAAUAAGAGCGUGAUAACUAAGAUAGAAGAUGUGUCCCUCUUCCUCUUCGUUUUGAAGGUGGCUCCGUGGAAGCUGGAAGUUUGACAUGACUCUUCCCCAGUGUCUUAAGGAGGGGCUGUAGGAUCAAGCCAAACUUAACCCAGGUCCUAGGCAGUGAAGAUCAAAAAGAAAAAGGAGACAGAGAUAGUGAGAGCAGGAACACAAGCAGCGGGAGUGGGAGAGGGAGAAGCAGGCUUCUUGCCGAGCAGGGAGCCCGAUGUGGGGCUCGAUCCCAGGACCCUGGGAUCAUGACCUGAGCCGAAGGCAGACGCCCAACGACUGAGCCACCCAGCAUACGUUUCUCUAAGUGAAAAGCUGGAAGUGUCUCAAGUGAUACCACCAAACUGCCUUCCACAAUGAAGAGUAAUGUUCACCUGGAGCCUGCAAACCACCAGAUUCACUGAGAGGACCUGGAAGGAAGAAAGCGAGAGAGAGAUGGAGACUGAGAAACAGAGAGACGAAACUCUUAUGUGCCAAAAAUAAAGAAGAACCUCAUAAUCGGUGUGAGAUUCAUGCUAAAUGGGACCAGAAGAUGAUCUCCAAAGAACAAGGCAAAAGAGUUAGGACAAGCAUCUCUGACCUCACAAUUCCUCAACAUUUCUACUUCUGCCUCCUCGAGUACCUGUAUGUAUUAGCAUCAGAGGACAUGUCAUUUGGCCUCAGACCUCCAGAAUCCUGUGUGUGUGUUUGAGGAGAAGAAUAAACAGCCCACAUUUGAGAGCAUGUGCCCAGCAAUUCCAUGUAAAGAGUAUAUAUUCUUUAAAAAUUGAACAAGUGCAAAGAAAUGGAAUAAUAAUCCUAAAAUUUGUAUGGAACCAGAAAAGACCCUGAAUAGCCAGAGGAAUGUUGAAAAAGAAAAGCAAAGCUGGUGGCGUCACAAUUCCAGACUUCAAGCUCUAUUACAAAGCUGUGAUCAUCAAGACAGUAUGGUACUGGCACAAAAACAGACACAUAGAUCAAUGGAACAGAAUAGAGAGCCCAGAAAUGGACCCUCAACUCUAUGGUCAACUCAUCUUCGACAAAGCAGGAAAGAAUGUCCAAUGGAAAAAAGACAGUCUCUUCAACAAAUGGUGUUGGGAAAAUUGGACAGCCACAUGCAGAAGAAUGAAACUGGACCAUUUCCUUACACCACACACAAAAAUAGACUCCAAAUGGUUGAAAGACCUCAAUGGGAGACAGGAGUCCAUCAAAAUCCUAGAGAACACAGGCAGCAACCUCUUCGACCUUGGCCACAGCAACUUCUUCCUAGAAACAUUGCCAAAGACAAGGGAAGCAAGGGCAAAAAUGAACUAUUGGGACUUCAUCAAGAUAAAAAGCUUUUGCACGGCAAAGGAAACAGUCCACAAAACCAAAAGACAACCGACAGAAUGGGAGACGAUAUUUGCAAAUGACA